rnacentral:rRNA from 1 species
UACGGAGGGGGCCAGCGUUGUUCGGAAUUAUUGGGCGUAAAGAGCGUGUAGGCGGCCAGGUAGGUCUGCUGUGAAAACUCGAGGCUCAACCUCGAGACGCCGGUGGAAACCAUCAGGCUAGAGUCCGGAAGAGGAGAGUGGAAUUCCUGGUGUAGCGGUGAAAUGCGCAGAUAUCAGGAAGAACACCCGUGGCUAAGGCGGCUCUCUAGUACGGUACUGACGCUGAGACGCGAAAGCGUGGGGAGCGAACAGG